UGGCUGCUGCUGUACGCGAGCGCUUCAUCAACUUCUCUGCUCCCAGAUAACCCGUCUCUUGUCUCGUACCGCUCAGCAGCCGGAGGCGAGACUUGGUAACCUGCUGUCGCAUCCCUCUUUCCCUCAUCCGAGGGGAAAAAAAUAACUUCAGAAACAAGUCGACCGCAAACAUACAUCCCCGGCUGAACUUCCACCAACCAAGAGACCGGUAGGAGGAGUCAACAGGUCUCAGCUGACGUGGGAGACAGACGAUCGAUGUGGCCUGCCUUCUCCCCAGAAGCACAGUUGGCCAGGACACAGGCCUCUCCAUCUGUCUGAAGAGCUCUAUUAGAGCAGGAGAGGCUCCAGGUGAAGGUUUGGAAAGGGCUAAAGAGUGAGACUGGACCUCAGCUGGUGAGGAGGGGACCAUUUGUGAGCACCAUGUGACCUCCAGACACACCCCCUCCCUGUAACUACGGCACAGUCACGACCAAGAGGAACUCAGGACUCACCACCCCACCCCCCCAUCCCCCCACCAGGCUCUCCACCACAUACUCAGGCAGAGCAGGCACUCAGGCCAAGUCAUCUGACACAACUCAUCUACUCUCCCUUUAUAUACUCUCCAUUGACGGGGUUUUUCUCUCCCCAGUUCAACCGGUGCAAAGCUGCUGGCGAACAGACUCUCUCAGCUCCCCUGCAGAAGCAUAAGCAAAAGAGCUGUUCCUUGGCCAACCAUUCUCUUUCGUGUGGAGCACAUCAGUACUAGACGGGGGCUCUCCCACAGCCAACAGGGGUCUCCCCCUCACCAACGGAUCCCCGCGAUUACAAUCCAGCGCCCUCACCGCUUAAUCUGCCUCUCCACCCCGGGCCGGGUUACUGCAAGCCGUCCGGAUGGGGACUAAUUAAGGCGGGGGCUGACAGACUCCGCAGAGCCACGCCACCGUGCGCCAUCCUGACGGCGCCCCACUCAGCGCAGACAUGUCCGGCAAAGGCAACUCGGGACCGCACCUCAACGGCUUCCCCAUGCCGCCCUACUCUUACUUCUUCCCCCACGUUCUGGGGGGGUUGUCUCCCCCCGCGCUGCCGGGCCUGCCCAUCAGCGGCUACAGCACACCCUC